rnacentral:lncRNA from 1 species
GAAAUAUAAUUAAUGAAGUGUCACAGUUCAGAUGGUAGUUUAACCAUCUGAACUGUGAUACUUCAUUGAUUGAUUAUAAUUCAUCAUUAAGCAGAAAUUAUUGUCUGGUCACAUCUGUCACUGUCUGGACUUAGUUUUCCAAUGAUGUAGGCCUUGAAUGAAAUCCUCCAGAUAUCUUUAUAAUAUAGUUGUGACUUCGCUCGGGUAUACCUCCGAGCGUUCACCUCUGAUUCGACCCCGCGGUUUGCUUCUGGUUGUUUUUCUAUUAACAUUAACUUCAACUGGUAUGCUCACUUCAUUAUUAUCCAGACAGCGAAAUAACAACUCGAACGUAUUCCACAAAAUGACUCAUUUUUAUUAACAAAACAAUGUAAACUAAAUAAAACUUACUAUGAAGAACAAUUCUUGCCUGUACAAAAUUAUUUAGUGACUUUCUGGAACUAUAAAACAACAAUAUAAUUGACGGAUAACAAUAAGAUACAACUUGCACUAUUGACAAUGAAUUAGCAACAAUC